GCAGUAGUGGCUUAAUGGUUAGAGUCUCGGCCUGUGAACCUGAAGGUCAUGGGUUUGAGUCUGAGGUCCGGCA